CAAUCAUUUCCCGUGCUCUUCUUCUCCUCCCCCCAAUCUCUCUCUACUCCUCUGAUUAUGGAUUAGACUUGUUCCCUUUUUUUUUUUUAAUUUUAUUUUUUGAUAACCUUAAAAGGCCUCCAAUUUACCCAAACUUCACUCUUACUAGCCUAAAUUUCUCGAACCUUCCACUCGCCGGCUGGGAUCCCGAGCUGGCUGAUCUGCGGCCCUGAUUGGGUCAAAUUUCAACAGGUUUCACGUGGAGGCUGGAGCACCUGAUAAUCCCUCUGCUACGAGGCAGUUUUUCUGCUCGAGCUCUGAAAUGAAGGCUUGGAGAUGAUUUGGUGUACUUAUGCUAUGAUUAUGUGUUAGAUGGAAGGUUCUUUAAGCAGGAUAAAUUGCAUCAUGACUUUGGACUUAAUUUCAGGAUUUCAGGUAUGAAACAAUCAGCAGCACGUAGCAUUUUUUCAAGUUUGUGGUCAGUUGCAGUAAUGGCAC
rnacentral:misc_RNA from 1 species